rnacentral:tRNA from 1 species
GGGCUCGUAGCUCAACUUGGUAGAGCAGCGGGCUUUUAACCCGAGGGUUGCAGGUUCAACUCCUGCCGGGCCCACCA